GGGACACGUGGUAUCCUGUCUGAAUAUGGGGGGACCAUCCUCCAAGGCUAAAUACUCCUGACUGACCGAUAGUGAACCAGUACCGUGAGGGAAAGGCGAAAAGAACCCCGGCGAGGGGAGUGAAAAAGAACCUGAAACCGUGUACGUACAAGCAGUGGGAGCACGCUUAGGCGUGUGACUGCGUACCUUUUGUAUAAUGGGUCAGCGACUUAUAUUCUGUAGCAAGGUUAACCGAAUAGGGGAGCCGAAGGGAAACCGAGUCUUAACUGGGCGUUAAGUUGCAGGGUAUAGACCCGAAACCCGGUGAUCUAGCCAUGGGCAGGUUGAAGGUUGGGUAACACUAACUGGAGGACCGAACCGACUAAUGUUGAAAAAUUAGCGGAUGACUUGUGGCUGGGGGUGAAAGGCCAAUCAAACCGGGAGAUAGCUGGUUCUCCCCGAAAGCUAUUUAGGUAGCGCCUCGUGAAUUCAUCUCCGGGGGUAGAGCACUGUUUCGGCAAGGGGGUCAUCCCGACUUACCAACCCGAUGCAAACUGCGAAUACCGGAGAAUGUUAUCACGGGAGACACACGGCGGGUGCUAACGUCCGUCGUGAAGAGGGAAACAACCCAGACCGCCAGCUAAGGUCCCAAAGUCAUGGUUAAGUGGGAAACGAUGUGGGAAGGCCCAGACAGCCAGGAUGUUGGCUUAGAAGCAGCCAUCAUUUAAAGAAAGCGUAAUAGCUCACUGGUCGAGUCGGCCUGCGCGGAAGAUGUAACGGGGCUAAACCAUGCACCGAAGCUGCGGCAGCGACGCUUAUGCGUUGUUGGGUAGGGGAGCGUUCUGUAAGCCUGCGAAGGUGUGCUGUGAGGCAUGCUGGAGGUAUCAGAAGUGCGAAUGCUGACAUAAGUAACGAUAAAGCGGGUGAAAAGCCCGCUCGCCGGAAGACCAAGGGUUCCUGUCCAACGUUAAUCGGGGCAGGGUGAGUCGACCCCUAAGGCGAGGCCGAAAGGCGUAGUCGAUGGGAAACAGGUUAAUAUUCCUGUACUUGGUGUUACUGCGAAGGGGGGACGGAGAAGGCUAUGUUGGCCGGGCGACGGUUGUCCCGGUUUAAGCGUGUAGGCUGGUUUUCCAGGCAAAUCCGGAAAAUCAAGGCUGAGGCGUGAUGACGAGGCACUACGGUGCUGAAGCAACAAAUGCCCUGCUUCCAGGAAAAGCCUCUAAGCAUCAGGUAACAUCAAAUCGUACCCCAAACCGACACAGGUGGUCAGGUAGAGAAUACCAAGGCGCUUGAGAGAACUCGGGUGAAGGAACUAGGCAAAAUGGUGCCGUAACUUCGGGAGAAGGCACGCUGAUAUGUAGGUGAAGUCCCUCGCGGAUGGAGCUGAAAUCAGUCGAAGAUACCAGCUGGCUGCAACUGUUUAUUAAAAACACAGCACUGUGCAAACACGAAAGUGGACGUAUACGGUGUGACGCCUGCCCGGUGC
rnacentral:rRNA from 1 species